GAUGAACGCUGGCGGCGUGCCUAAUACAUGCAAGUCGAGCGAACAGACGAGGAGCUUGCUCCUCUGACGUUAGCGGCGGACGGGUGAGUAACACGUGGAUAACCUACCUAUAAGACUGGGAUAACUUCGGGAAACCGGAGCUAAUACCGGAUAAUAUAUUGAACCGCAUGGUUCAAUAGUGAAAGACGGUUUUGCUGUCACUUAUAGAUGGAUCCGCGCCGCAUUAGCUAGUUGGUAAGGUAACGGCUUACCAAGGCAACGAUGCGUAGCCGACCUGAGAGGGUGAUCGGCCACACUGGAACUGAGACACGGUCCAGACUCCUACGGGAGGCAGCAGUAGGGAAUCUUCCGCAAUGGGCGAAAGCCUGACGGAGCAACGCCGCGUGAGUGAUGAAGGUCUUCGGAUCGUAAAACUCCGUUAUUAGGGAAGAACAAAUGUGUAAGUAACUAUGCGCGUCUUGACGGUACCUAAUCAGAAAGCCACGGCUAACUACGUG
rnacentral:rRNA from 1 species